AUUGACUUCUAGUCGGGUACCAGUAACACAAGUUCCAGCAGCAAUAAAUUUCAGUGCGGCCAGUCUCACCAAAAGCAGCCACUUGGGGGCAGCACUACUUCGACGGAGAGUGUUCCACCUACAGAGGCUGACCUUUUCCCAAAGUGAUUCUCAGGACCAUCCAGACGCAGCAUCAGCCGCAUAACCAACUGCAGACCUUCCCUGAAGGCGCAGGGCGCAGAAGAGGGCCAUGAUAAUUAACAGCAGUCUGAAUGCUGAAGCUUGCUAGGCCAAACAUCGCCAUGGAAAC